UACAGAGGGGGCAAGCGUUGUUCGGAUUCACUGGGCGUAAAGGGUGCGUAGGCGGUCGGGUAAGUCUGAUGUGAAAUCUCCAAGCUCAACUUGGAAAUGGCAUCGGAUACUAUUCGGCUCGAGGAAUGGAGGGGAGACUGGAAUACUUGGUGUAGCAGUGAAAUGCGUAGAUAUCAAGUGGAACACCAGUGGCGAAGGCGAGUCUCUGGACAUUUCCUGACGCUGAGGCACGAAAGCCAGGGGAGCAAACGGG
rnacentral:rRNA from 1 species